rnacentral:rRNA from 1 species
CGUAGGUGGCAAGCGUUGUCCGGAAUUAUUGGGCGUAAAGCGCGCGCAGGCGGUUCCUUAAGUCUGAUGUGAAAGCCCCCGGCUCAACCGGGGAAGGUCAUUGGAAACUGGGGAACUUGAGUGCAGAAGAGAAGAGCGGAAUUCCACGUGUAGCGGUGAAAUGCGUAGAGAUGUGGAGGAACACCAGUGGCGAAGGCGGCUCUUUGGCCUGUAACUGACGCUGAGGCGCGAAAGCGUGGGGAGCAAACAGGAUUAGAUACCCUGGUAGUCCACGCCGUAAACGAUGAGUGCUAAGUGUUAGAGGGUUUCCGCCCUUUAGUGCUGCAGCUAACGCAUUAAGCACUCCGCCUGGGGAGUACGGCCGCAAGGCUG